GUGCAUUGUAGUUGCAUUGCACGUGCAGGUGAAGAUGUGCAAUGCCCCUCCAGUGCAGCC
rnacentral:pre_miRNA from 1 species